UACGAAGGGGGCUAGCGUUGCUCGGAAUCACUGGGCGUAAAGCGCACGUAGGCGGGUCCUUAAGUCAGGGGUGAAAUCCUGGAGCUCAACUCCAGAACUGCCUUUGAUACUGAGGAUCUCGAGUUCGGGAGAGGUGAGUGGAACUGCGAGUGUAGAGGUGAAAUUCGUAGAUAUUCGCAAGAACACCAGUGGCGAAGGCGGCUCACUGGCCCGAUACUGACGCUGAGGUGCGAAAGCGUGGGGAGCAAACGGG
rnacentral:rRNA from 1 species